AUUGAACGCUGGCGGCAUGCCUUACACAUGCAAGUCGAACGGCAGCGGACCUUCGGGUGCCGGCGAGUGGCGAACGGGUGAGUAAUAUAUCGGAACGUACCUUUCAGUGGGGGAUAACGUAGCGAAAGUUACGCUAAUACCGCAUAUUCUGUGAGCAGGAAAGCAGGGGAUCGCAAGACCUUGCGCUGAUUGAGCGGCCGAUAUCAGAUUAGCUAGUUGGUGAGGUAAAGGCUCACCAAGGCGACGAUCUGUAGCGGGUCUGAGAGGAUGAUCCGCCACACUGGAACUGAGACACGGUCCAGACUCCUACGGGAGGCAGCAGUGGGGAAUUUUGGACAAUGGGCGCAAGCCUGAUCCAGCCAUGCCGCGUGAGUGAAGAAGGCCUGGUGUAAGACUCUUCGUCGGAGAAGUACGCACAGUAAGUACCUACGUGUGGAUGACGGUACCGGAAGUAAGAAG
rnacentral:rRNA from 1 species